ACUGAACUGCCUAUUGAUACAGAUGCUGCCAGCAUUUCUCUUCAAUGUUACAUCAGUCUGUACCAUAAAAGUGGACAUGAUCAUCAGCCUCCUCCUCCUCACCAUCAUCAUCAAUCUACUCAUUAGAUGCCACCGAAAACAUGCAGAGCUGACACAGUUUCUGGAUCAGUCUUGCAGUCUGAAAAUAAUCACACAGCCAGUUAUUUAUUUGCUUUAAACUUAGUGGAAAGUUAUUUCUCUCUCAGCCACAGUGGAAAAAUGUGAGAGAAAACAAACUAUCAAGUCCGGAAGAUCCUUGGAUGGAUGUUUAGUCUCCAGAGAGUGUUUACAAGGGAAUGCAGCUCUUUAUUUCCCUACACUCCAUGACAGAGCCUCUGGAUGGGUGAAAAGUUUCAUCAUUAAACAAAUGGAAACUCCACUUUUAUUCAGUUCUCUUGUCUGUGUAACUCAUGACUCUGGCACAAGGUCCUACAGUGCAUCAUGACAGUGUGACAGUGAGCCAGCAUGGACAAAUGAGUAAUACCAGGAUGUUACAUCUCCUGCUUGACACUAGAGGAACAAUAGAGACUACUACUAAAGAAUUUAAAGGAAUCAGAGUACAACUGGAAAUGAAAGUGAUUAUGGUGCUGUUUUCAGCUCAUCUCAGCACAAAGUCCAAUAAAGAUUUCAAAAAUGUGGGGAAGGAUGAAAACAGAAUUAAGCCUAACUAACCUUUACCUCUAAAAAAACAAACAUAAAAAGACCUAACUCUUUCUGAUCUUAAAAAAAAGAACCAGAACCAAUGACAGAGACAGCAACAACCAGCAAACUUAGUGUGUUGAUACAAUUUACAAUGUAAAGGGUACCCCCAACUUACUUACUGUCCUACCUUCCAUCACAGGUCUUCUAUGUCAUGUUUUCUAAUAUUGAAUAACAAGUUUUUCAAGUGGUAUAACAAUGACUCAGGCAGGCAGAGAGCAGGAUGAAUGAGAGAGAGGGUGGAUUCUUCACAAGUGCUCAUUUGAUGUCAGCAGAGGAGGAAGACAGAGACAAGAGGAAAAAACAACUAACAAAUGAAACACAGGAAUUCAGCCAUCAUUAACUGUAUUAUAUACAUAUGUGCUUUGCUACUGUUCCUAGAAAUAUUACUCCACAGAGCCACCCAGAGGCAAAAAUAGAAAACUACAGAAACAGUUUAAACUUCGGUGGUAGGCUGUUACUGUUGAUUGUUAUUAAAGUCACACUCACCAGAUCUUUUUAUAUGCUACCUGACGGGUGCCACUCUCUAAUAAACCACACUUUAUAAGAUAUAUGACAUUCACUAGUGCUCUGUAGAUCACACGUGUGCCAUUAAUGACAAGUUUUGGGUUAGCAGGUUGUGAAAAGAUGAUUUUACUAAUCCUCAUUCCCAGAGUAAAUUAUUAACAAAUGAUCAAUAUCCAUAAGUGCAGACCUGAUGGAUUGUCACUUUAUCAACAUUUAUUACUGCUGAUUCUGUGACUUAUCAGACAUCUACACAGUUAGUCAUUUUAAUUUCAUCCAACUCAGAAUCUUCAGUUCUCCUGCUGCCUUAAAACUGCAAGUCAGCUGAACUAAGUUUAACAGUUAGUUAAAUGUCGUUUUAUACAUUUUGAAAAGAACUAACUGAUAGAGUUGACCAAACGUAAAGAAACAAGUUCAAUAAAUUGUGUGAUAAAGUGAUUAGUCACAGUCGUUACAGACAGAUUUACUUUCUCUUUACAUUUCCUCUAUUUAAAGAGCCAGUCCUUCAUUUGUCAUGAAGAACUUAGAACUGGAGCUGCUGAUACCAUUUUGUACCACAGUCAGCACACAGACAACAUGUAAGGAUGCUCUAAGUAGCUAUAUUACAUUUUCUGUUUUAAAGGGGUAAGGACUGAAUUCAAUACUAAUCCUCUCUGUGAUUGGCACUGAUUUAAUUAUUAUGAGAAAAAAGAACCAUGACUUACUGUCACAUGUAUUAAAUACACACAUCAACUUUACAUCAGAUCAGUAAACUCUCUGGAGAGUUUCGACUCUCAAACAAUGCAUGAUGUGAAAUCUGCUAAUAUGCAAGUUUCUUUUAAAACUUUAAGUCAAAACUCAAAAUUUGGAGCAACUCAUAUUAAUACAUUCAACAAUUGUCUGACAAUUAAAUCUAAGUAGAAUUAACUUGAAAUAAAUACACCUUACAAAUUUAGGUUAACAAGAAAAUCAUUAGUUGAUUCCACUAUGAUUUAUAGUGUCUGACUGCAUUUUUACCAAUUAACAAACAACCAGAAAAAUCUUUCCAAUAUAAAGCCUUUAUAAAAGCUACUAAAAGUGCUAAGUGUAAAUAUCUUGUAUGGACAUCCAGUGAUACACCACUGACAAUAACAAGCAGUUUAUUGAAACUGUGUUACUUUGUCUGAAUGUAUCAUUUUCUGUUUUUUACGUUCUUUAAUAGCAGCUGUAGAUCACUUCAGCUACAUAAAUAAAUGACUGAUGAUGCUU